AGUGGCAUGUGAUGAAUAAGUUCUUAUCCUACACACUGAAUUUGUUGUGUUGACUACUUACUCCGCUUAUUAUCUGAUGCCGUU
rnacentral:snoRNA from 9 species